AGGACGAACGCUGGCGGCGUGCUUAACACAUGCAAGUCGAGCGGAAAGGCCCUUCGGGGUACUCGAGCGGCGAACGGGUGAGUAACACGUGAGCAACCUGCCCUUAGCUCUGGGAUAGCUCCGGGAAACCGGAAUUAAUACCGGAUAUUACACCGGCUGGCAUCGGCUGGUGUGGAAAGAUUUAUCGGCUAAGGAUGGACUUGCGGCCUAUCAGCUUGUUGGUGGGGUAGAAGCCUACCAAGGCGACGACGGGUA
rnacentral:rRNA from 1 species